GCCUGAGUGGCGGAAUUGGUAGACGCAGCGGAUUCAAAAUCCGCCGGUGGUGACACCAUAAGAGUUCGACUCUCUUCUUAGGCA
rnacentral:tRNA from 1 species